rnacentral:rRNA from 1 species
CGCGUAGGCUGUGCUGUAAGUCAGGCGUGAAAUCCCCGGGCUCAACCUGGGAAUUGCGUUUGAUACUGCGGCGCUGGAAUGCAGGAGAGGAUGGCGGAAUUCCCAGUGUAGAGGUGAAAUUCGUAGAUAUUGGGAAGAACACCGGUGGCGAAGGCGGCCAUCUGGCCUGUAAUUGACGCUGAGGCGCGAAAGCGUGGGGAGCAAACA